rnacentral:lncRNA from 1 species
ACUGGUCUCCCUUCUAUUGUUUUUUCUUAAAUUUGUUCUAGUUAGUUAUACAUGACAGUAGAAUGCAUUUUGACACAUACACAAAUGGAGCACAACUUCUCAUUCCUCUGGCUAUACAUGGUGCAGAGUCACACCGGUAGUGAAAUCAUAUGUGUAUAUAGGGUAAUAAUGUCUGUCUCAUUCAACUUCCUUGUCAUCCCCACAGCCCCACCCCUUCGUUCACUCCCCUCUGCACAAUCCAAAGUUCCUUCAUUGUUCCCUAUCCCCCGCCUCACUAUGAAUCAGCAUCUGCUUAUCAGAGAAAAUAUU